UCCCGCCUCUCUAGUUUCUUCUGCAGCUUUUGCUCUUCAUCUCUUCGAGACUUCGACUCUUCCCUCUCGCCACUGCUGCCGCCGUCUGUCGCCAGUCGCCGCCAACCUCCAUCUCUUGCCUACCGCCUGUUUUGGACUUUAGUUUGGUAAGUAAUUUAAUUAAUUUUUAAUUUUAAUUUAGCCUAAAUGUCUCUCAAAUUUGGUACUAUUAAUUUUAAUUUAGCCUAACUAUGCAUACUAUUAAUGUUUCCUGUAAAUUAAGUCUCCACUUUGUAUGUAAUUUUGAUGAUGUCAAUUGACAAAUAAAUUUAGGGAUAUAAGAAAAAGAAUAAAAAUUGAUUUUUUGUUAAUUUAGGAAUAAUUGAUUUUAUUUUGUAAUUAUAAAAAUUAAGAUGGUUUAAUACCUUAAAUUAAGAAAGUACAACCCAUACGACCGGAGCCAGCACAGGUCUCCCCUUAAAAUAGGUUCUGAUUCCGCCACCGGGUAAUACAUUCUCACUCAUCUCUCUUACAAUUAUGGUGAGCAUAAUUAGAAAUGUACAAUUGAAUUUUCAAAAAAAAGUACUUGAGAUUUCAAACCAUAAUUACAAUUCCAGUUCAAUUUUGUAUCCCUAAUUUAAGUUCUUACAAAGAGACCACUUCAAAUUGUAAUUUCUAAAGAGUUAUCAGCGUAUAACAUGUCUUUUCAAAUGCAAGGUUAAUUUUAUUGUGUUUUGGUUAUGAGAUUUGAGUUAACACGCAAGAAGAUCUUUGGGUGUCCACGUUUGAACUGCUGUGUUUGAUAGUAGAACAAGAAAAUUACUACAUUUGCAGUUCAACACGAUAAACGUCACGUUUAAGAAAUAACUGAACAAACAUUAUAUUUCAUCUAGAUGAAUAUACUAAAAUCUUUAUCGUUUUAUAGCAUUAGAUUUGGAAUAUUACAACCAAAUUAGGUAAGAGAAUUUAAUAUCCAUAAUACAGACCCUAUAGGGUGUGAAAGGCACCCCAAGUAUCGGCGCGUGGGUAAAAGACAUGGUGGCGCUGACUCUGAAUUUGAUCAUUCAAUACACAAGUAAUUAGCAUACUCUCCAUUUUAAAUAAAAUAGAGAGUACUUAUUUUAUGAUUCUGAUUUAAAAUAUGUUGAAAUGUGAUAUUAUAAUAUAGGUAUUGAUAGUAUUUCUUUUUCCGAUUCGUUUAUAACCAUUUUAUAUUAGUAAGAAGUUAAUAAUGAAAUAUAUUAUAAUACUUUACAAUUGGUAGAAAUUUUAAAAUUCUUCUAUAGUAUUAAUUAUAUAAAUAAAAAAUAUGCAUGCUAUAUAGGUAAUAAACAUACAUUUACAGUUUUUGUACUAGCUAAAUCUAUAUAAUUCUUUGUUUCCAAAAAUUCAGAAGUUUUUACUACUGAAAAUUAAUUGAGUAUACAAGUAUACAGCUAGAGCUAGUAUAAUUAACAUAUUGUUUAAUAUAUAUAUAAUUGAAAGUCUUCAUAUUUAAGUUAAAAAUAAAGUGUAAGAAAAUUAUAAAAUAUAUAUGACAAGAAUAAUCAUAAUUUUCUUUUUAUGCAUAAUUUUAUACAUAAAAUAUAAUAUUUAAUUAAUAAAUAUUUUUAUUUAUACAUAUUAUACUAAAUAUUUUAAUAAUUAGUAAGAAAACAAGAAGAAAAAUAUGGCUGAAUUUGGAAAGUAGUGAUAAGUGACACGGCCAAGUGUCCACUUUAUGCCACGUAUAGACUACACGUGUCCUACAUGCAGCUGAAUAAUCCAAUAUCUCUCCGAUCCUUUCUUCUUACAACGAACACUAUAUUACACUGCAACAUUUAUAUAUUUAUAUUAUACGUAUCUUCCUCAAAAAAUUAUGUCCAGUUUCUUUGUCAAGAUAUCCUCCUGCAACCCAAUAUCUGCCAGAAAAAUCGGCCAUGUCGUCCGUAAAAGCCCAGUGAUCUAUUUUCCAACCCGAAUGCUACAAUCUAACCCGCCGGAGUUUCCCUCCAGGCCUCCGGUUAAACCUCAUACUCCAACGGAGCUACCACGGACCCCUAAUUACCCAGACUUCGGUCCGUUUCCGCCGGAUGAGAUUGCUGACCCGCCUCCACUUUCUCCUGGGCCUAACCCGGGCCAGGACUUUCCAGGCCCACCAACUCCGUCACCAUCGGUCCCUAACGCUCCUCGACCACCGAUGCCGUCACCGCCGGGACCAGAUAUACCUCAGAGACAGCCGCCAAAUGGGCCGGAUGUCAUACCUCUUGGGGUGCCGGAAAUUCCAACACCGUUAAUGGGCUCCGAUGGGUUGGUUUUUUGGUAAGAGGUGAUGCUUGGAGUGGUGCAUGUAUAUAAUUUUAACUUUACCUUUUGUAAUAAGCUAGGUUUCACAUAGUAGUAUAGUGUAGAAGUACGGACAGAAUUAAUUAAUUAUUGAUUAAUAUAUAUUUUUUUCUAUUUUAA
rnacentral:lncRNA from 1 species